rnacentral:rRNA from 1 species
GAUGAACGCUGGCGGCGUGCCUAAUACAUGCAAGUCGAACGCGCAGCGAAAGGUGCUUGCACCUUUCAAGCGAGUGGCGAACGGGUGAGUAACACGUGGAUAACCUGCCUCAAGGCUGGGGAUAACAUUUGGAAACAGAUGCUAAUACCGAAUAAAACUUAGUAUCGCAUGAUACAAAGUUGAAAGGCGCUACGGCGUCACCUAGAGAUGGGUCCGCGGUGCAUUAGUUAGUUGGUGGGGUAAAGGCUUACCAAGACAAUGAUGCAUAGCCGAGUUGAGAGACUGAUCGGCCACAUUGGGACCGAGACACGGCCCAAACUCCUACGGGAGGCUGCAGUAGGGAAUCUUCCACAAUGGGCGCAAGCCUGAUGGAGCAACGCAGCGUGUGUGAUGAAGGCUUUCGGGUCGUAAAGCACUGUUGUAUGGGAAGAAAUGCUAAAAUAGGGAAUGAUUUUAGUUUGACGGUACCAUACCAGAAAGGGACGGCUAAAUACGUGCCAGCAGCCGCGGUAA